rnacentral:lncRNA from 1 species
UGCAGGGCUGGGGCAAAGUGCUCCAGAAGGCUGUGUAUGCUCUGAAUCAGUGGCCGAUAUAUGGUACUGUUUCUCCCAUAGCCAAGAUUCAGGAGUCCAGGAAUCAAGGGGUGGAAAUGGAAGUGGCACGACUCACCAACACCCCUAGAGAUCCACUGGCAAAAUUUUUGCUUCCUGUUCCCAUGACAUUAUAUUUUGCUGGCCUAAAGGUCUUAGUUCCAGAGGGAGAAACACUGCCGCCAGGAGACACAACAACGAUUCCAUUCAAUUAGAAGUUAAGAUUGCCACUUGGACACUUUGGGCUUCUCCUACCUUGAAGUCAACAGGCUAAGAAGAGAGUUACUUGGCUGGGGCGAUUGACCCAGAUUAUCAAGAUGAAAUCAGUCUACUACUCCACAACUGAGUAGAGACGGGGUUUCACCGUGUUAGCCAGGAUGGUCUCAAUCUCCUGACCUCGUGAUCCGCCCUCCUCGGCCUCCCAAAGUACUGGGAUUACAGGAGUGAGUCACCACGCCCGGCCGGAUUAUGGAUUUUUAAGAGGAAAACCACAGAGGAAGCCAAGCCACACUGCUAACUGAUGAGAGACCAGCUUGAAAGAGGGAGGACCUGCCAAUUGCCAUCAGCACAACUCCAGAUAUAUGGGAGUCAGGUGAUCAUAAACCAUCCAUUUUCUGCUGAGUCACAGUAGACUGCAACUCCAUGAAUGAGACAAGGAGGUGUCGGUAAAAACAAAACAAAACAAAACAAAGCAAAAACUGCCUGGUGUAACCACAGAAUCUUAAGAAAUAAUAAAUGAUUUUAAUCCAA